rnacentral:rRNA from 1 species
UAGGGAAUCUUCGGCAAUGGACGAAAGUCUGACCGAGCAACGCCGCGUGAGUGAAGAAUGUUUUCGGAUCGUAAAACUCUGUUGUUAGAGAAGAACAAGGACGUUAGUAACUGAACGUCCCCUGACGGUAUCUAACCAGAAAGCCACGGCUAACUACGUGCCAGCAGCCGCGGUAAUACGUAGGUGGCAAGCGUUGUCCGGAUUUAUUGGGCGUAAAGCGAGCGCAGGCGGUUUCUUAAGUCUGAUGUGAAAGCCCCCGGCUCAACCAGGGAGGGUCAUUGGAAACUGGGAGACUUGAGUGCGGAAGAAGAGGGUGGAAUUCCAUGUGUAGCGGUGAAAUGCGUAGAUAUAUGGAGGAACACCAGUGGCGAAGGCGACUCGCUGAUCUGUAACUGACACUGAGGCUCGAAAGCGUGGGGAGCAAACAGG